rnacentral:rRNA from 1 species
UACGUAGGCGGAAGAUUAAGUCAGUGGUGAAAUCCCACAGCUUAACUGUGGAACUGUUAUUGAUACUGGUUUUCUUGAAUAUAGUUGAGGUAGGCGGAAUGUGUAAUGUAGCGGUGAAAUGCUUAGAUAUUACACAGAACACCGAUUGCGAAGGCAGCUUACUAAGCUAUGAUUGACGCUGAGGUACGAAAGCGUGGGGAGCGAACAGGAUUAGAUACCCUGGUAGUCC